rnacentral:lncRNA from 1 species
UAUGCCCGCAUUAUAUUGGUAGGCGACCUAGAACAAAAAUGAAAAGACAGAAAUGUAUUCCCGCAUUAUACUGGUGGGCGACCUAGAAUAGAAAUGAAGAGACAGAAAAUGUAUUCCCGCAUUAUACUGGUGGGCGACCUAGAACAAAAAUGUAUUCCCACAUUAUACUGGUGGACGACCUAGAACAGAAAUGUAUUCCCGCAUUAUACUGGUGGGCGACCUAGAACAGAAAUGUAUUCCCGCAUUAUACUGGUGGGCGACCUAGAAUAGAAAUGAAAAGGCAGAAAAUGUAUUCCCGCAUUAUACUGGUGGGCGACCUAGAACAGAAAUGUAUUCCCGCAUUAUACUGGUGGGCGACCUAGAAUAGAAAUGAAAAGACAGAAAAUGUAUUCCCGCAUUAUA